rnacentral:misc_RNA from 1 species
GAUGAAGAACGUAGCGAAAUGCGAUACGUAGUGUGAAUUGCAGAAUUCAGUGAAUCAUCGAAUCUUUGAACGCACAUUGCACCUCUCGGUAUUCCGGGAGGUAUGCCUGUUCGAGCGUCAUUUGUACCCUCAAGCUCUGCUUGGUGUUGGGGAUCGGCUCUGCCCUUCUGGGCGGUGCCGCCCCCGAAAUACAUUGGCGGUCUCGCUGCAGCCUCCAUUGCGUAGUAGCUAACACCUCGCAACUGGAACGCGGCGCGGCCAUGCCGUAAAACCCCAACUUCUGAAUGUUGACCUCGGAUCAGGUAGGAAUACCCGCUGAACUUAAGCAUAUCAAUAAGCGGAGGA